rnacentral:rRNA from 1 species
GUCCACGCCCUAAACUAUGGCAACUAGUUGUUGGGGGAUGAACUCCCUUAGUAACGCAGCUAACGCGUGAAGUUGCCCGCCUGGGGGAGUACGGUCGCAAGAUUAAAACUCAAAGGAAUUGACGGGGGCCCGCACAAGCGGUGGAUGAUGUGGUUCAAUUCGAUGCAACGCGAAAAACCUUACCUACCCUUGACAUGCCAGGAAGUCCGAUGAAAGUCGGGUGUGCCCGAAAGGGAACCUGGACACAGGUGCUGCAUGGCUGUCGU